CCCGACUGAAUUAGGGUUAAGGUGAACUCGUCAAACCCAACAUCAGUCAUAUGAAUCAAUCGAUCGAUCCAAAUCCGAUGUGAAACCUUAAUGAAAAACUUUUUUCUAUUAUUUCACUCUGCCAUGGUUAUGGGCUUAAGAACUCAAUCUUUCGAUCAUCAUAGGACUACUUUUUUCAUCUAUCAAGGUUGAUCGAUCCCAUCUUGGUGUAAUCUGAUUCCUACAAUGAAUAUGCUACAACCAACAUACACCUCAGGAUUCUGAAUGGCUAGGAGAUCGAGUUAUGGUGUAGUCAAACUAUAACACACUCAAG
rnacentral:lncRNA from 1 species